GUCAGAGGCUGCCUUAUCCCAGCGCGGAGCUGCCGGAGCUGCCGCGCGGGGGAGGGGAAGGGAGAGGCGAAGGCGGGCGGCCUUGGCGCUGCCCGCCCCGGCCCCGCCGCUCGCCGGGGCCCAGCUCGCUGGGCUCCGAGGGCUCCAGGGGGCCGGGGGAGCGGGUGGCGGAGGCGCCGGGCCGCGGCGGGCGCCGGAGCCCGGGGGUGGCCGGGCGAGGGGAGCUGCUGCCCGCUCCCGCCCUCCCGCGCAGCCCGGGCGGACGGGGCCGUUCCUGAGGGAUUCCGGCGAACCUGUAAUGAAUGACAGGACGAUCUAGCUCCUCGUGUAGCUAACUAGGUCACUGUCAGCACUUAAUUACUGUUUGUUUCAUUUUAGUGCGUGCCUUAUGAAUAAACCGGCUAUUAGGCUGAGGCUUCAAGUAACACUAUCCAGCACCAAGGUUUUUGUGUUUGUCAUUUCUACCACAGUCCAUAGGCUGGAUCUCUGCAAUCCCUUGGCAGAGCAUGGAGGAACAAAGAGGGUGAUGCCAUCCAAAUGUUCUCUCCCUGCGAUCGUGGUUAAUAAAGCUCCUCUUUGACCUGUC